AGAGUUUGAUCCUGGCUCAGGAUGAACGCUAGCUACAGGCUUAACACAUGCAAGUCGAGGGGCAGCAUGGUCUUAGCUUGCUAAGACUGAUGGCGACCGGCGCACGGGUGAGUAACACGUAUCCAACCUGCCGUCUACUCUUGGACAGCCUUCUGAAAGGAAGAUUAAUACAAGAUGGCAUCAUGAGUCCGCAUGUUCACAUGAUUAAAGGUAUUCCGGUAGACGAUGGGGAUGCGUUCCAUUAGAUAGUAGGCGGGGUAACGGCCCACCUAGUCUUCGAUGGAUAGGGGUUCUGAGAGGAAGGUCCCCCACAUUGGAACUGAGACACGGUCCAAACUCCUACGGGAGGCAGCAGUGAGGAAUAUUGGUCAAUGGGCGAGAGCCUGAACCAGCCAAGUAGCGUGAAGGAUGACUGCCCUAUGGGUUGUAAACUUCUUUUAUAAAGGAAUAAAGUCGGGUAUGGAUACCCGUUUGCAUGUACUUUAUGAAUAAGGAUCGGCUAACUCCGUGCCAGCAGCCGCGGUAAUACGGAGGAUCCGAGCGUUAUCCGGAUUUAUUGGGUUUAAAGGGAGCGUAGAUGGAUGUUUAAGUCAGUUGUGAAAGUUUGCGGCUCAACCGUAAAAUUGCAGUUGAUACUGGAUAUCUUGAGUGCAGUUGAGGCAGGCGGAAUUCGUGGUGUAGCGGUGAAAUGCUUAGAUAUCACGAAGAACUCCGAUUGCGAAGGCAGCCUGCUAAGCUGCAACUGACAUUGAGGCUCGAAAGUGUGGGUAUCAAACAGGAUUAGAUACCCUGGUAGUCCACACGGUAAACGAUGAAUACUCGCUGUUUGCGAUAUACUGCAAGCGGCCAAGCGAAAGCGUUAAGUAUUCCACCUGGGGAGUACGCCGGCAACGGUGAAACUCAAAGGAAUUGACGGGGGCCCGCACAAGCGGAGGAACAUGUGGUUUAAUUCGAUGAUACGCGAGGAACCUUACCCGGGCUUAAAUUGCAGUGGAAUGAUGUGGAAACAUGUCAGUGAGCAAUCACCGCUGUGAAGGUGCUGCAUGGUUGUCGUCAGCUCGUGCCGUGAGGUGUCGGCUUAAGUGCCAUAACGAGCGCAACCCUUGUUGUCAGUUACUAACAGGUUCCGCUGAGGACUCUGACAAGACUGCCAUCGUAAGAUGUGAGGAAGGUGGGGAUGACGUCAAAUCAGCACGGCCCUUACGUCCGGGGCUACACACGUGUUACAAUGGGGGGUACAGAAGGCAGCUAGCGGGUGACCGUAUGCUAAUCCCAAAAUCCUCUCUCAGUUCGGAUCGAAGUCUGCAACCCGACUUCGUGAAGCUGGAUUCGCUAGUAAUCGCGCAUCAGCCACGGCGCGGUGAAUACGUUCCCGGGCCUUGUACACACCGCCCGUCAAGCCAUGGGAGCCGGGGGUACCUGAAGUGCGUAACCGCGAGGAGCGCCCUAGGGUAAAACUGGUGACUGGGGCUAAGUCGUAACAAGGUAGCCGUACCGGAAGGUGCGGCUG
rnacentral:rRNA from 1 species